rnacentral:lncRNA from 1 species
GGCAACCCGCUUGGGUCCCCUUCCACACUGUGGAAGCUUUGUUCUUUUGCUCUUUGCAAUAAAUCUUGCUACUGCUCACUCUUUGGGUCCAUGCUGCUUUUAUGAGCUGUAACACUCACCACGAAGGCCUGCAGCUUCACUCCUGAAGCCAGCGAGACCACGAGCCCGCCGGGAGGAACGAACAACUCCAGAUGUGCCGCCUUAAGAGCUGUAACACUCACCGCAAAGGUCUGCAGCUUCACUCCUGAGCCAGCGAGACCACGAACCCACCAGAAGGAAGAAACUCCGAACACAUCCGAACAUCAGAAGGAACAAACUCCAGACGCACCACCUUAAGAGCUGUAACACUCACCGCAAGGGUCCGCAGUUUCAUUCUUGAAGUCAGUGAGACCAAGAACCCACCAAUUCCGGACACAUUUUGGCGACCCAGAUGGGACUUUCGCCUAUCACCAAGCGGUGAGACCAUCACCUAUAGCUGAGCGGUGAGACCAUCACCUAUAGCUGAGCGGCGAGACCAUCACCUAUCACCAAGCAAAUCAAGGCCAUCAAGCUACAGAUGGGCUUACAAAUGGAACCCAAAAUGAGUUCAACUAACAACUUCUACCAAGGGCCCCUGGACCGACCCACUGGCACUUCCCCUGGCCUAGAGUUCCCCUCUGAAGGACACUACAACUGCAAGGCCCCUUCUUCACCCCAUCCAGCAGGAAGUAGCUAGAGCGGUCAUCGGCCAAAUUCCCAACAGCAGUUGGGGUGUCCUGUUUAGAGGGGGGAUUGAGAGGUGACAGCAUGCUGGCAGUCCUCAGCCCUCACUCACUCUUGGCACCUCCUCUGCCCGGGCUCCCACUUUGGUGGCACUUGAGGAGCGCUUCAGCCCACCGCUGCACUGUGGGAGCCCCUUUCUGGGCUGGCCAAGGCCAGAGCCGGCUCCCUCAGCUUCCAGGGAGGUGUGGAGGGAGAGGCUCAAGCGGGAACUGGGGCUGCGUGCGGCGCUUGCGGGCCAGCUGGAGUUCCGGGCGGGCGUGGGCUUGGCGGGCCCUGCACUCAGAGCAGCCAGCCGGCCCUGCCGGCCCCGGGCAGUGAGGGGCUUAGUACCUGGGCCAGCAGCUGUGAAGGGUGUACUGGGUCCCCCAGCAGUGCCAGCCCACCGGCGCUGCACUCGAUUUCUCACCGGGCCUUAGCCGCCUU